GAAAAAUAUUUUAGGCGAUCACAUUAGCCUUGGAGUGACGAAUUUCAAUUGUUAAAACCUGGUUCGGAAUGCCGGCCCCUACAAGCAUCAGUUCUAAAAGUAUUCCCGACGAGUCAACAUCUAAAUUUUCAGUCUAAAAACAUCUAAAAACGGUUCCCUUCGGUUUCCAGUGGAAAUAAUUUUAAGCUCAAAUUAACAAACAUGUAUAUGUACGUGAACCCAAAUUACGUUUUGGUGCCUGACUGCUGCGGCGGCGGGUGCUGUGGACCGGCUUGCUCUCCUUGCUGCGGACCAUGCUGUGGACCAUGCUGCGGACCAUGCGGUGGCUGUUAUCCCUGCUGAUGAGCCAGAAACCUGGAAUGCCAGUGGAGGGACCGAUGCUGAAACCUGGAAUUCCAAUGGAGGGACCGAUGCUGAAAUUUAGAUAGAGAUGAUCAUACCAAUAAAAAUUAAAUGUUAGCGACCAA